AUCUAUCUCUUGUUUUCAAGAGACAGAAUAUUCCAUUUCUAGUUCCGUCUUUUGUAAGGAGAUGGAAAUGUUCGUCUCUCCUUAUAAAGAUAAAUAUUUCCAUCUAUUUUCAAAAAAAAAAAAAAAUCUGUCUCGAUUUUGAGACGUCUUUUCCCGUCUCUUACUUCCGUCUCUAUGGAGCCGAUUUGCUAUAGCGAGAUCUUAUAGGGCCACCUACACGGCAUGGCUAAAAUGGAAUCCACACCACACACACAGAGACUCGCUGACCCAGCAACCCCCCUGACUUCCAUGCCUCGCCACUCAACGGCUCCACCGCUCUAUCGCUCUACUGCUCCGCCCACUCAUCUUUAUCCGUCCGUAACCUCGCGCAGCUCCACACGUCUUUGUUGCCCUGCCAUCUCUUGAUCUCGUUUCUGGGUCUAAUCGAUCUCUGAACUCACUCUGUUAACUUCGACCACCACCUUCUUUAGGUAAUUCCUCUAAUCAAACCCUCCCCUCUCCCCUACUUUGCAGAUUUCAGGGUUUCCUAUUCUUCCUUUCUUCAUCAGUUUUUGACGAGUUGCGUGGAGGGGAGGGAGAGCUGAGCGACCAAUGGGAGCUUGGUAAAGUACGUGAACAGUAACGGCGCAUCCCUGCGACCAGUGCACGAAGUCGAAAUGGUGGAGGCUAAAGAAGACGCGAGGAAGAGGAGGAUCGAAGAGAUUGGAGAUGAAAGGCAUGCUUUUUAAGCAAAGCGGACGACGACAGCUUGAGGUACGUUGAAUUCGAAGUAGGAAUUGGUUAAUGCUUUUUGUUUCCUUGCUCUUUAUAUGAUCUUUGUGAUUGUCGGAGGGUAGAAAAAACACAAGAAGAUGCAUAAUACCCUUACCUCAGACGCGCACCUGAACUUGUCAGUUCAGUGGGAGCUCAUUCCGGUCACAGCCGAGAGCUUCUUCGUCAAUUCAUUCAAUUGGAGGAAGAGAAAACAGAAAAUUGAUGAUAUGUUGCUGACAUGACAUUCAAGGCCAUCCAAUUCUAUAUAUGAGGUUUCCAUAGCUUCCAAGAACUCGCAAUUUGGUGGUCCGAACGAGGAGAAUAGUAAGUUCAAAGUUGGGUCGAUGAACUGCUUGGUCACCCUGUCAAAAGAGAGGGGUUCACGUAUUCUCUACGUCGGCACUGUUUCACGCAUUAAUGAGGCACGUCAAAUUUUCCAUCCAAAAUGUUUGGAAAAUUGAUGCAUUCCAUUAGAAUUCCGUGAAACCGAUGACGGAAUGCUGACAUGUUUCGCGUUUUGGGGGAAAACCGGGUACACUUGGACACAUUUGAGACCCAUGCCCCCUCUCUUUCUCUUUCUUCUUCUUUUCUUCUUCUUCUUCCUCUUAUGGCCCGACCAACCUAGUAACACUCCCUCCUUUGCCUUCUCCUCUCCUCUUCCUCAUUCUAUUCCCGCCGUGUUUCAGCAGAGCACCAUCAGCGCAGCCAAUAUCGCCGCCCACCGCUCCAUCAAGGACAACCUUACCAACCUUCUGGCUCCUACUUCUUCUCCACCUGGGACUUCACCUCCCCAGAUCCCUACUCUACCUUCCUUUGCCUCACCUGCUAAUCCUUUGCCACCCUCGCCCAGGUAUUCGCCCUCCCCCCUUGGCCCCGCCCUUGUCGGUUCCCUCCCUGCCUCCAUUUCCUCCCUCUCUGAGCUGACCCAGCUCUUCCUCUCCCCCGGCAUUAUCACCAGGCCAAGUCCCUCGGAGCUCAACUGCCUCUUUGGCUGCUUCUUCUUCCUUCUCUCUCUAGGCUCUCGCACACAGACACACAGAGCAUUUCCUCAUCUCUUCCCCUGCUUCCUUCCAUCACAGCCACCUUCAUCAUCUUCUUCCUUCACCAUGAACGAUCAGUCACCACAUCGACACCCUUCUCGGUCAAGAGUGCAAGGACGUAGAGACUAGAACAGAGGGGGGAGAGAGAGAUGGUAGACUGUCGAGUUUUUAGAGAGAGAAAGGAAGAGUGCCGUCACAGUUGCAGAGAAAAGGGGAUGGAGUGGGUCCCAGAUGAGUCCAAGGUGGCUUCCAGGUGUGCUCGGUUUGCCCCAAAACACGAGCCAUGUCAGCAUUUCAUUAUAGAUUUCACGGAAUGGUGAAGAAAUAUUGUAGCAUGAUAAAAAAAAUCUAUGUUGUUUCAUGAAAUUAUUUUGUUUUGUGUUUCAGUGUGAAACACGGAAAAAUUCAAUAUUGUGUGGUGUUAUUUCCCCUUCAAUUAAGUGUAUAAGUAUACAUUUCGAGUCGAAUAUUGGGCAAAGUUGCAAGUAAAGAGGAUAGAUACAUCCAACGCAUAUUCAAUCUUCUCACACUUUAUAAUGUAGAUAUAGAGCUCAUCGAUAACAAAAUAAAUAAUCAAUGGCUAAAUAUGAAGAGUGAGAACGACAGCACAUAAUACAAUUAUGAUAUUACCAGGAAAGAAAUUUGAAUAAUAGAAUAGGGUCUUUCCUUUGGGAUUUUUACCCCAAAUGUCCCAUGGUUAACCCGUUUUGUCAAAUCUAUCUUAUGUUUUUUUUUGUCAGAUAUAUCCCAUGGUUUACUUUUUGUAUCAAAUAUAUCCCGACGUUAUAUUUUUCAUCAACAUCUAACGGUCGUGCUGACGUGGCAUAUAGAGGAAUAAUUGGCCACACUUGCCACGUGGGUGCCACGCCAGCAUAGCUGUUAGAUGUCGACAGAAAAGAUAACGUCGGGAUAGAUUUGAUAUAAAAAGUAAAUCAUGAGAUAUAUUUGACAAAAAAAAACAAAUAAUAGAUUUGACCAAAUGGAUCAACCAUGGACCAUUUGAGGUAAAUUUUCCUUUUCCUUUUCCUUUUGAGUGGAAAAGACAUUUUGCCUCAUAACGUUUCGUUUUGCAUCACUUUGACCACUAAUGUUUAGUUUGUUUUAUUUUGACCAUUCACUUUUUUAGAAACUUUGAGAAAAAAUUGAUUACUAAUGUGAUAUAAACUAAAUAUAAUAUCCAGAGAAGGGGAGACUAAAGUAGCGGCGCAUAUCCUCUAUUUAAAAUAGAGGUUUCAGGUUCGAUUUUCAUGGUGUGAUUACUUAUGUUCGUUUUUUCGCUAUUAGAAUUUCUAUUGUUUCGUAUUAGAGUCGUGACUCUUCAUUACAACUGAAAAAAGUCUAAAGCUGAUCCAAGGUUGUCAGAAUCUAGAAUUGGUUGAGAGUCGUAGAAUCGUGAAUCGUAGUAUCGUAAGAUUCUACGUGUAUAUAUAUAUAUAUAUAUAUAAAAUACUUUCCUGAGAAAAAAAAUCAAUCUCGUUCAACAGAAUCCAUCAAAUAUACAUAGCACAAGAACUUCAAUAGAAGCAAUCAGAUAUACAGAGCAAUCCUUAUUCGAUGCCUCUUCCAAUUCAGCUUCCAAAUCAAGUAUACACAAUAGGAAAAAAAUGCAGCUUCCCGUCCAAUUCGAUGCUUAUUCCAAAUCGGGCAUACACAAUAGAAAAGACCAAAACGCAAUGCAUACUUUGAUUGAACCUCAACAGCUCAGCUUAUAAGCAGAAAAAACCAGAACCCUAACUACACUCAAGUUCGGGGAAAGGAAAAAAAAAAGGGAUGGAGUCGAAGGAAAAGGUACCUAGCUGGGAAGCAGUGGAAGCUCCUAACAGAGUUACUGGACUUCAGCUCAAUACCACUACAGGGGAAGUGAGGAACCUCUUUCUUCACUUGAUUGGCGGUUAAUUGCAGCGGCAAUAGAGGGAAGGAGGUAACUCCGAAAUUGGUUUGGACUCUAGACGAUGUGAUUGAAGUCGAAGCUCAGACGGAGAAGCCUUGUAGUAAUCUGGUCGAACCGUCGAACCUCGAACGGAGAAGCCUACACAGAACCUGGUCGACGACGGAAUUAGGGCAAAGACAAAACACACCUGGCCGAACCUGGACGAAGACGGAAACUGUAGUCUGAGAUUGGAGAAAAGCCGAUGAAGAAGAAAGGAGAAAAGGAAGGGGGAGGGGGAAGGAAAAAAAAAGGGCCAGGGGGGUUCGGCUCGACUCUGGCCCGGGCUUCGGCCCAACUCUGGGUUGGGAUUUGUCCAAGUCUGGGCUGAAUCCGGAAUCGCGGUAUCGGCCCAAUUCUGCGAUUUCGCGAUUCUCGGCCCAAUUCGGCAGCGACUUUACCUUUUCCGAUUCAGCCCAUAGAAUCGAAAUCGUCGACCUCCUUCAAAUCGUAGAAUCAUACGAUUCUACGAUUCGAAUUACGAUUCUGACAACUAUGGACAUAUCCAUUGGUGACUAAACUAACACUUUUUUGAUAUUAGGCCUGUGUGACGUAACUAACUUAUCCUGUCAGCUUGCAGUGUGUUAAUGGGCAGCGCAUAUUAUUUAGAUGAAGCCGAACACUCCUCAUUAUUAAAAAAAAAUAAAAUCAUGUGAUGGGGUGCAAGGGCCUCGUAAAAGGUUGUUUCAUGGUUUGGGCGAAUGGAUUUUUGUUUAAGGU